rnacentral:rRNA from 1 species
UACGGAGGGUGCAAGCGUUAAUCGGAAUUACUGGGCGUAAAGCGCACGCAGGCGGUCUGUCAAGUCGGAUGUGAAAUCCCCGGGCUCAACCUGGGAACUGCAUUCGAAACUGACAGGCUAGAGUCUUGUAGAGGGGGGUAGAAUUCCAGGUGUAGCGGUGAAAUGCGUAGAGAUCUGGAGGAAUACCGGUGGCGAAGGCGGCCCCCUGGACAAAGACUGACGCUCAGGUGCGAAAGCGUGGGGAGCAAACAGGAUUAGAUACCCUGGUAGUCCACGCCGUAAACGGUGUCGAUUUGGAGGUCGUGCCCUUGAGGCGUGGCUUCCGGAGCUAACGCGUUAAAUCGACCGCCUGGGGAGUACGGCCGCAAGGUUAAA